AUAAAUAUGAAUUUCAACGAAAUAAAAUCGAAGAAAGCAAAUAAUCAAAUUUAGAGUUGAAUAUGGCAAAGACUGGGAAUUGAACCCGAGUACGACGGAUGGUAACCAAAGACCCUAUCCAACAAGCUAAACAACCAAGUAUUAGAGACAAAAAAUCUCGCCCGCGACCUGAACAAAGCUGCGAGGUUGUUGCAAGCUCACAGCAGCUUAUUGCAUCAAGAACAUUGAAACAUCUCAAAGAACGUUUUAUAGAUCAAAAAAUGUUAGUGAGGCUAACUAUACUAGGCCACCCAGGCCUGAUAGUGACACUGAGGAAGACUCAGCUGCUGAAUCGGAUUUUGGAUCAUCGCCGGACUCGGACUAAAAAAUAUGUUUACCAUCUACAUAUAAAUUAAUUGCAGUACAUCACAAUUAAUAUGGCUUAUAUUCAAUGUAAAAUCCAGUAACAGAAUAAAUAAAUAAUUUAUUUAUAAA